CCCUUUAGACGGGGACAACAUUCCGAAAGGAGUGCUAAUACCGGAUGUGAUCAUCGUGCCGCAUGGCAGGAUGAAGAAAGAUGGCCUCUACAAGAAGCUAUCGCUAAAGGAUGGGCCUGCGUCUGAUUAGCUAGUUGGUAGUGUAACGGACUACCAAGGCGAUGAUCAGUAGCCGGUCUGAGAGGAUGAACGGCCACAUUGGGACUGAGACACGGCCCAAACUCCUACGGGAGGCAGCAGUGGGGAAUCUUCCGCAAUGGACGAAAGUCUGACGGAGCAACGCCGCGUGAGUGAUGAAGGAUUUCGGUCUGUAAAGCUCUGUUGUUUAUGACGAACGUGCAGUGUGUGAACAAUGCAUUGCAAUGACGGUAGUAAACGAGGAAGCCACGGCUAACUACGUGCCAGCAGCCGCGGUAAUACGUAGGUGGCGAGCGUUGUCCGGAAUUAUUGGGCGUAAAGAGCAUGUAGGCGGCUUAAUAAGUCGAGCGUGAAAAUGCGGGGCUCAACCCCGUAUGGCGCUGGAAACUGUUAGGCUUGAGUGCAGGAGAGGAAAGGGGAAUUCCCAGUGUAGCGGUGAAAUGCGUAGAUAUUGGGAGGAACACCAGUGGCGAAGGCGCCUUUCUGGACUGUGUCUGACGCUGAGAUGCGAAAGCCAGGGUAGCGAACGGGAUUAGAUACCCCGGUAGUCCUGGCCGUAAACGAUGAGUACUAGGUGUAGGAGGUAUCGACCCCUUCUGU
rnacentral:rRNA from 1 species